CUUCCCCCCCCCGGACCCUCCCGCAGCCGCCCCUCCCCGCUGCGCUGCGCGCCCGCGGAGCCGCCGCCUCCCGGCCGCACCUGGGGGCGGGCAGCGCCGGGCCCCGACUCGACGCGGCGCGGUUCGCACUUACUCCGCGGGGCCUCCGUGGCGGCGGCGGCGCGGGCCCGGCGGUGCCCCGGGCGCGGUGCUCCCUAUGGCUGUUAGUUGUCCUCGCUCUUCCCGAUAUUCCUAAAGACCUUC
rnacentral:lncRNA from 1 species